UACGGAGGGUGCAAGCGUUUAUCCGGAUUUACUGGGUUUAAAGGGUGCGCAGGCGGAUAUGUAAGUUCAGUGGUGAAAUCCCCGAGCUUAACUUGGGAACUGCCAUUGAUACUAUCAGUCUUGAAUACUGUGGAGGUCAGCGGAAUAUGUCAUGUAGCGGGUGAAAUGCUUAGAUAUGACAUAGAACACCAAUUGCGAAGGCAGCUGGCUACACAAAUAUUGACACUGAGGCACGAAAGCGUGGGGGAUCAAACAGG
rnacentral:rRNA from 1 species